ACAGUGUCGUAUGAGGGAACACAGAGAAGUGGCACCAGGGCAGGCACAGAACAGAAACCAAACAAAUGGCAAAUCUUAAUGAAAGACAUAACCAGAAUAAACAAGAACAUAAAAUAUUAUAAAUAAACAAAACACAAAGUCAUCAGACUCAGGACUAUGACAAAAUUUACCUUGGAUCAUCUUUGCAUCCUGUGAGAAUCACCUUAACUUCUCUGUAUUCUUCCAGUUGAUCCUGCAGUGCCAUCCUGCACAGAAGGACUCUUUCUGCCCAAGUUUCUUCCUCCAACACCAGCCAACGGAGCUCAGCUCUACAACAAUGUCAGUCAGACUCUGGAAAUUAACAUCACUGCACAGGCACUUAACUCCACGUUAUUAAGUUACAUAUCUGACUCCAGUGCUGAUGUACAAUAUUACAGUCAGGUGUCAAUUGAGACGACACAGGUCUCUGAGCUGCUCUACAGCGGGCCGUACAAUUUAACCAGCAGUACAUCAGGACCAGGACAGUUCAUCCUGAGAUGGACACCAUCUGAAAGUGAAGAUGGACGAAGCCUCCCCAUCUGUUUUGUUGUCCAGGCAGUUUUCAAGUCAGUCUCAUGUUUCAUAUAAAUGACUCUGUAGAAAGUUAAAAUAUUUUUUAUCUUUUGAGAUUACAGUUGUUGUCAGAAGGCAACAUAUAAACCAGGAACCUUCCAUGUUUUGAAAACAUGCUAAAUUAAAAUACAAAGUGUCCUUGGUUAAGUGACUUGAAGUUGUCAUGUGAUUGAAGGGCUAUAU
ensembl:lncRNA